UACGGGGGGGGCAAGCGUUGUUCGGAAUUACUGGGCGUAAAGGGCUCGUAGGCGGCCAACUAAGUCAUACGUGAAAUCCCUCGGCUUAACCGGGGAACUGCGUCUGAUACUGGAUGGCUUGAGAUUGGGAGAGGGAUGCGGAAUUCCAGGUGUAGCGGUGAAAUGCGUAGAUAUCGGGAGGAACACCAGUGGCGAAGGCGAGUCUCUGGGAUGAUGCUGACGCUGAGGCGCGAAAGCCAGGGGAGCAAACGGG
rnacentral:rRNA from 1 species